UACGUAGGUCCCGAGCGUUGUCCGGAUUUAUUGAGCGUAAAGCGAGCGCAGGUGGUUUAUUAAGUCUGGUGUAAAAGGCAGUGGCUCAACCAUUGUAUGCAUUGGAAACUGGUAGACUUGAGUGCAGGAGAGGAGAGUGGAAUUCCAUGUGUAGCGGUGAAAUGCGUAGAUAUAUGGAGGAACACCAGUGGCGAAGGCGGCUUACUGGACAGUAACUGACGUUGAGGCUCGAAAGCGUGGGGAGCAAACAGG
rnacentral:rRNA from 1 species